rnacentral:rRNA from 1 species
AUUGAACGCUGGCGGCAUGCUUUACACAUGCAAGUCGAACGGCAGCACGGGUGCUUGCACCUGGUGGCGAGUGGCGGACGGGUGAGUAAUACAUCGGAACGUGUCCUGAAGUGGGGGAUAACGCAUCGAAAGAUGUGCUAAUACCGCAUAUACUCUAAGGAGGAAAGUAGGGGAUCGAAAGACCUUAUGCUUUUGGAGCGGCCGAUGUCUGAUUAGCUAGUUGGUAAGGUAAUGGCUUACCAAGGCGACGAUCAGUAGUUGGUCUGAGAGGACGACCAGCCACACUGGGACUGAGACACGGCCCAGACUCCUACGGGAGGCAGCAGUGGGGAAUUUUGGACAAUGGGCGCAAGCCUGAUCCAGCAAUGCCGCGUGAGUGAAGAAGGCCUC